rnacentral:misc_RNA from 1 species
ACUUAAACCUGUUGAAUUUCAUUAUGAAAUUGGUGAAUGUUAUUUUUUCUUCUUGACUCAUUUUCUUCUUCAUCUACGACAUGAACAGAUGCUGUAUCAUUUUAAAAACUUGGGAUCUGAGUUUUACCAAAGAUAGAACAUCUGUUCAUGUCCUAGAUGAAGAAGAAAAUGAGUCAGAAGAAAAAAUAACAUUCCCCGGUUUCAUAAUGAAAUUCAACAGGUUUAAG